rnacentral:rRNA from 1 species
UACGGAGGGUGCAAGCGUUAUUCGGAUUCACUGGGUUUAAAGGGUGCGUAGGUGGGUCUGUAAGUCAGCGGUGAAAUCUCCGAGCUUAACUCGGAAACUGCCAUUGAUACUAUAGGUCUUGAAUCAUCUGGAGGUGAGCGGAAUAUGUCAUGUAGCGGUGAAAUGCUUAGAUAUGACAUAGAACACCAAUUGCGAAGGCAGCUCACUACGGAUGUAUUGACACUGAGGCACGAAAGCGUGGGGAUCAAACAGG